GCUGGCUACAUAUCUGUCUCUGGAACAAUAGGUACCUGUAUUCUGCACGGACUGCUGGGCAGCACUAGCACUCUGGAGAAGGUCUGCCUCUGUCUGCACUUUCCUGGUUCUAUGCAGGCAGAUGAGUGUCACAGCUGUAACUGAGGCACAGAACAGUACACAGUGUGGAGCCGAUUUCCGCGAUGGCGAGAGGGGGCAUCAGAGGUGACAACAAUAACAAGACCGUCCUUCGGACAAGUUUUAGAUUCUCAGGAUGAUGGAGUGAGUGAUGGAGUAGGUUGCCAACUGUAGUUGCUCCACUCAGCACAGAAUGGCUGCGGGGAAAUAGAAUCAGACAUGCCCAAAGAAUCUGCUCAGGGUGAAACAAAUACCUUUGAGGUUUAAAUCAGAAAGGAAGGAGAGGCUGUUUCUACAGGUGUCAUAGAAAAAUCAAUACUGAGCCAUGGAUUAUUGGAUCCCAUAGAACCAUGGAGACUUGGCAGUGAAAUUCUUUCAAAGGCAGACGGUGUUCCUAGGUUUGGAAAUAUAAAUCCCAUGGGAAGUCAGCUGAAGAACAUUUUAUGCAUCACUCAUCCUGUUAUGAGCCCUGUGCUGUUCCCUCUCUGUACAAGACUGGCUGACACCACAAGAGUUGUUUAUAUUUUGUACUGAUCACCUAGUUAAUACUCUGACUCUGAUUCAUACCAAAGACAGUGUUUUAUAAAAGAGAUUCUCUGUUAGAUGGAUGCUCCUGCAUUAUUAAUAAAAUCACAGGGAAAAUGCGACAUUUUGGAUGUCACAUCUGAUAAGGUAAGAUUUUAUCAUGGCCCAUAAGAUGUGAUUUUACUUAUGACUAUCCCAGGCCCAUGAAAGUUUUCAUUUAUCCAUUUGAUAUAGAAAUCUAUAAUAUAAGCCUUCAUAUACAUUAUUUAAACUGUGACCUAAAAGCCGGGCUACUGAAUGUAUUUUGUUUCUGUGUAAGUCACAUUAUUUUUUACUGUUUUUUUCAUCCUUUGCAGCUUAGAAAACUAUAACUCAAUACAUCAUGCAGCAUAUUUAAAUUAAAAUAUAAAUUGUGUAUAUCAUUAUUCUUGGGGGGGGGAACGAGAAAGGCAUGCUUCUCUGUAACCCUGGACAAAGUUUGCCUUUUGAUGUGUGAAUUCUUAAAUGUGCACAAACCAAAGACAAUGGUAUACAUACUUUGACACGUUCUGAAGUUAAAAGAGGACAUGAGGAUUGUGUGAUAAGUGGCAGCCUUGUGUCUACUAUUGUAAUAAUAUGAUGUCUGCAUAAGAAGAAAAAAAAAGUACAAAAAACAAUGGCGAGAUGAUGGAGAAGCUGAACAUAAGUAAAGUUCCAGUUGGCAGUUAAAGAACAGAAACACAGCAAUAAGACUGAGUGGCUACGUUUUCCCAGUGCCACCAACUGGGAGUUAAGCUGACUAACAUUUUGAAAGCCCAGCCCAUUUCAUUCACAGCAGGAUGGCAGUGGGUGACUGAUUGUACCCGCCAGCUGGCUAAUGUCAUAAUUAACAAAGUUGCUACUACAUCUGCAAAGUUUAAUCGAAAAAUUUGCCAGUGAUAUGAUGGCAUUGUCUCAGAGAUCACAAGGGACAUGGAGUCGACUUUUGCUCAAGGUGGAACGACAGAGCUGUGUAGGCAAGAUGAGAAAUUGUGAACUUGUUCGGCCAAAGGAGGCUAAUAAUGAAGGGGCCGGGAAGGAGGCCAGUGCUACCAGGGUUAUCUCACAACCUCAGAUGCUGGAUAAGGCGAAGGAGCAGAAUCGCUUUGGGAUGGCAUUCAGAAAGGCUGGAGUGAUUACUUGGAAGAGAAAAGCCUACCCAUUCUUUCCAAGGUGCAGGAAUAUUCCCUUGACCUGCUCAUCCAAUGGUCCAGUAAUGAAUUACUAGAGACCUGCCUUAGACAAAGAAUGCACUCGGAGCCCCACCACACCUAAAGCCACGCUUUGAAGGACCUGCCAAGCUCACUUUUAAUCAUGAGAAAGAAAUUACCCACACGGAGUCAGCAGAAAAUGAGAAAGUAGAGCUCGUGCUGUGAAUAAUUCCAGCAAGUGCCAAGGGGCUAGCUGAGGAAUGGCUUUCAUGAGAUGUUAGUCUAAAACUGCACCUUGGAUCUAAGCAGCACCUUUGAGAAAGAAAAGACUCCUUCAAGAAUGUCUAGUUGCACCUCCUUUCCAUAUUCGGCCUAAAUGCCUAGGUUGGAUCAAUAGUUUAAUUUUUGUAUUGAACUGUUUAAUGUUGACUAUGGACCUAUAUUCACUUUUACUGUUUCCUGUGUAUUUAUUUUUGCUUGAAUUGUUUUAAUAUUGACUAUUUGCCUUUACUCAUUUUUAUUGAUUUUUGGUAUUUUUUUCAAUGAAAAUCAUAAUAAAAAUUAUUUUUGUUA